rnacentral:tRNA from 1 species
UUUAUAUAGUUUAAAUAAAACAUUACAUUUUCAUUGUGAAAUUGAAAUUUACCUUUCUAUAAAUUU